ACUUCUAUUCGAUGUGAGUGUCACGUCCCGGAUUCCUCGUUUCCCCGGGCACGCUAACAGACCCGCCGUAUAUAUAAAAAUUUUCUCUGUAUACGAAGCGAAACUGUAUAAGAACCUGUAAUCAAACAACACUACAACCAGUAGUAUAGAGCUGCUAGAAAGAAAUAAAACAUAAAUAAAAACAGAAGUUCACUAUACAUACAUAACAUCCAGGUGUACAAAACGCUCGCUCCGGCGAGAUACAACAUAAGUAUGUAUAAGAACUCAAAACUACCGCUACCUGAAGCUAGUAUACUCUAGAUCAGUAGCAACUGGGAAGGGAUUUAACUCGCGACUCCCUUUCCACGAUUCGAAUCCGUAGUAGCAGCAGCCGCAGCCGAAGGCUCUGCAAAAGAUUUCAACAACUGGGGGUG
rnacentral:lncRNA from 1 species